GUGCUAAUCCUCCUGAGGGAAGGUUAGCAUUCCCUUUGAUAAGGAUGGAAGAGGUCUUAGUGGCCUUUACAACAUAUAUAUGCUUAAGGCAUUGCCACCUGCUCUGUGGCAUGAAAGUCUAAUUAA